GGAGUGGUUUAAUUCGAUGCAAAGUGAAGAACCUUACCAGGGCUUGACAUGCUGCAAAUCCUCUUGAAAGAGAGGGCUGCCUUCAGGAACGCAGACACAAGUGGUGCAUGGCUGUCGUCAGCUCAUGCCAUAAAGUGUUGGGUUAAGUCCCGCAACGAGGCAGUGUGAACAAAUAAAAAAGAAGAGGAAAGAUAAGCAAAUUUUGUCUUUUACUACACGGGUUAAAACAAAUUACGAUAAUUCGUCCCCUCCUACGGAUUAGGUGACAUUUUUC
rfam:Gossypium arboreum cultivar AKA8401 contig_39198_3, whole genome shotgun sequence.